UAGUACACUUAAAUUUAAUUAGUAAAUACUAGAAUAUUAGGAGUUAUGUUCUUUAAAUUUAAAAAAUUUGGCGGUGUUUUAGUCUAGUUAGAGGAACCUGUAUUAUAAACGAAACAACACGCAUUAUCUUACUUAUUUUAGUAAGACAGUUUGUAUACCGUCAUUAUCAGAUAAUUUAGGAGAAAAUAUUAUUGAGGCCAUAUUAUUGAGUAUAUUAGAUCAAGGUGCAGCUUAUGAGUAAGUAAAUAUGGGUUACAAUAAAAUUUAUUUAGUAUGAAUUAAAUAUUAAAAUAUAUUUAUGAAGGAGGAUUUAAUUGUAAGAAAAAAGUAGUAAGAUUUUUUGAUAAAAGCUCUAAAUUAU
rnacentral:rRNA from 1 species